AUUUCUAGAUAAACACACAUGGAAUAUACACUGUAAUUUCUGUAUGGACAAGAUGGACUGGGACCUGUGGAAUUAAUUUUAUCAUCCUUCUUAGCAGAAAGCUGAGCUGUUUAACAAAGGAAAAGAAGGGGAAUAAAAACAAACUGCCUUCAGUCUUUCUGCUGGGACUGAAGAUGGAAGUGUAAAUGGCAUGAAAAUGGAAUUAUCCAUCAAAAAUAAGGGGUGAUCUCUCCAAGUCAGGUAUGUGAGUUUGGGUGGGCUACAGCAAAUGGCUUGAUGUGUUUGGGGGAUUUCACUCCCUGUCCUUCUUCUCCCACUACUGUAGAACAUUUAUCCUUUCAGAAAGUAAAGGAAGGCUGGUAUAAAUUAGGAAUGGUAAUGUAAAAGCUUAUACCCACUGCAUGAAAGUCUUUCAAAUUAAUAUAAGCAUUAAAUUCCCAAAGUUUUUUCCAUAUACUGCAAAUAUUAAACAUGACAUGCCUGCUAGGGUUGGUAUAAAGUUUUGUCAGCAUUUUUGGCAUACAAGUUCUCAGCCUGGGGUCAAUAUUUUGUUGACCAAAUUUUGAUGUUUCAGUUGCCUUUUUACACUCAAAUA